rnacentral:rRNA from 1 species
GCCCAGACUCCUACGGGAGGCAGCAGUGGGGGAUAUUGCACAAUGGGGGGAACCCUGAUGCAGCGACGCCGCGUGGGUGAAGAAGCGCCUCGGCGCGUAAAGCCCUGUCAGCAGGGAAGAAAAUGACGGUACCUGACUAAGAAGCCCCGGCUAACUACGUGCCAGCAGCCGCGGUAAUACGUAGGGGGCAAGCGUUAUCCGGAUUUACUGGGUGUAAAGGGAGCGUAGACGGCGAUGCAAGCCAGAUGUGAAAGCCCGGGGCUCAACCCCGGGACUGCAUUUGGAACUGUAUAGCUAGAGUGUCGGAGAGGCAGGCGGAAUUCCUAGUGUAGCGGUGAAAUGCGUAGAUAUCAGGAGGAACACCGGUGGCGAAGGCGGCCUGCUGGACUGCAACUGACGUUGAGGCCCGAAAGCGUGGGGAGCAAACAGGAUUAGAUACCCCGGUA